UGAAAUGACUUUGUUUAGCAUGGAGAUUC
rnacentral:piRNA from 1 species